UUCGAUCAAUGAAAGACACCAGUGAGUGAGGUCCUGGUUUAAACUUUCAGUAGCCCAAAAGGGGUUAGUCUACAUCAAAUGAAAAAGUUGAAACAUCCCACCAAUUUCUUUGACAAAUUUCCAAGAAGCACUUUGGACUUUGAAUGGUAUCUGAAUGCAGAUAAACAUAGAGAAACUGUGUAUUCACCCUUGAAGGAACUGCAACAGCAUUUGAUUUCCGGAGGCUUUUGGUGGUAUUGGACAUGAAAGUGUAGUGAAGCAGUAAUUAUGAAUACAUCAACACAGAUUGUUGCAACUCAGAAACUGCAAAUACUGGGAAUCUGAAAUAAAGGUAAAAAUGCUGGAAACACUCAGAAGGUCAAGCAGUAUCAGUGGAGAGAGAAACAGUUUAGGUUUUGUGUUGAAGAUUCUUCAGAACUGGGAAAGAAAGGAAAUAAAUGUUUGUAGUUUUAAGCUGCAAGGAAGAUGGGUGAUAAAUGUUCAGUAAAAAGAACAUCUCUGAGUGUGGCUAGAAUUGCAGAGGGAUUGGUUGUAGAGGUUAUCCAAUGAGGGUAGCUAUAGAAAAGAAGCACUGAGAAACACUGAGAUUGCAAAAGCCAUAGACUUAACAGCACAGCAGAUUCAGCAACUUCACUCAUGAAUAUGCAUGUGUCCACUAAUUAUUAUUUCAUUAUGGCAGUAUUUAACUCCAUUCUUUUCAUUGUAGCGCUUGUUGAGACUUGAGCAAAGCACAGUAAUGAUACACUAC